rnacentral:rRNA from 1 species
GUGCCUAAUACAUGCAAGUCGAGCGGAUGAAAGAGAGCUUGCUCUCUGGAUUCAGCGGCGGACGGGUGAGUAACACGUGGGCAACCUGCCUGUAAGACUGGGAUAACUCCGGGAAACCGGGGCUAAUACCGGAUAACUUCUUUCUUCGCAUGAAGGAAGGUUAAAAGACGGUUAUGCUGUCACUUACAGAUGGGCCCGCGGCGCAUUAGCUAGUUGGUGGGGUAACGGCCUACCAAGGCGACGAUGCGUAGCCGACCUGAGAGGGUGAUCGGCCACACUGGGACUGAGACACGGCCCAGACUCCUACGGGAGGCAGCAGUAGGGAAUCUUCCGCAAUGGACGCAAGUCUGACGGAGCAACGCCGCGUGAGUGAAGAAGGCCUUCGGGCCGUAAAACUCUGUUAUCAGGGAAGAAUCCGUGCCGGAGUAACUGCCGGUGCGUUGACGGUACCUGACCAGAAAGCCAUGGCUAACUACGUGCCAGCCGCGGC